rnacentral:lncRNA from 1 species
AUAAUCCAGGAAUUCUACUGAAUACAACUGACAGGAAAAAAAUGACUAAAUGCCUUUAAGAAAUCAGACUUCAGGGGAAAGAAGCAUGUAGAUAAAUGAUCAUAAUAAUAAAUAGCGGGUCAUAUGCCAUAGGAGAGUUAAGUAUCAGAUGCUUUAAGAGAAUAAGCAACUAAGGGAAUUGGAAGAGGUGAUGUUUGAGAAGGUGUGUGUGGGUCAUGGGGCUCCUGAAGAUAAACUCACGUGUUUGUUAAAACCUUGCUAAAGUUUAUUAAAGCUUGUCAAAGAAGAUUCUGAUUUGCUGAGACUGCUUUAAAACAUCUGACUCAAGACAAAUGAAGCAUGGUGAUGGUGGCCUUUUCAGGAGUGGGUGGGCUGUUUUAUUACUAAGAGUUGAGUGACAGGCUUCCCAGCAGACUCGAAAGACAGGUAAAAUUUUAAAAAGGAACAUAAAAUUUUUCAAGGCACUC